rnacentral:rRNA from 1 species
AGCCACAGCCAUAUCACCCUGCUGCCCAAGACCGGUUACUCACUGAAGCUAAGCAAAGCUGAGCCUGGUCAGUUCCUGGAUGGAAGACCCCAUAAGAAAACUAGGUUGCUGUUGGAA